UCGAAGCUUUUUUCAAAGUGUGUGUCCAUUCAGUCCAUUUACGUUUUAAAAUAGUGGACUGAAUGGACACACACUUUGAAAAACGAUUC
rnacentral:miRNA from 1 species